UACGUAGGGGGCAAGCGUUGUCCGGAAUCAUUGGGCGUAAAGAGCGUGUAGGCGGCCCGAUAAGUCCGCUGUGAAAGUCCAGGGCUCAACCCUGGGAUGCCGGUGGAUACUGUCGGGCUCGAGUCCGGAAGAGGAGUGUGGAAUUCCUGGUGUGAGCGGUGAAAUGCGCAAAUAUCAGGAGGAACACCAAUGGCGAAGGCGGCUCUCUGGGACGGUACUGGACGCUGAGACGGCGAAA
rnacentral:rRNA from 1 species